rnacentral:ncRNA from 11 species
CGUGGCCCAGUGGUUAAGACACCAGGCUCACAACCUGGAGGUCUUUGGUCCAAACCCGGCCA